rnacentral:rRNA from 1 species
AAUUUGUACUUGUACAAAAAAAGUGAUAGAUGCCAUGCUUCCAAGAAAAGCUCCUAAGCUUCAGUCAGUAAGGGGAUCGUACCCGAAACCGACACAGGUGGUCAGGUCGAGAAGACCAAGGCGCUUGAGAGAACUCUGGUGAAGGAACUAGGCAAAAUAGUACCGUAACUUCGGGAGAAGGUACGCUGUUGAGGGUGAAGUAUUUACUACGUAAGCCUUUGGCAGCCUCAGAAACUAGGCCGCUGCAACUGUUUAUUAAAAACACAGCACUCUGCAAACACGAAAGUGGACGUAUAGGGUGUGAUGCCUGCCCGGUGCUGGAAGGUUAAUUGAUGGGGUUAGCGAAAGCGAAGCUCUUGAUCGAAGCCCCAGUAAACGGCGGCCGUAACAAUAACGGUCCUAAGGUAGCGAAAUUCCUUGUCGGGUAAGUUCCGACCUGCACGAAUGGCAUAAUGAUGGCGGCGCUGUCUCCACCAGAGACUCAGUGAAAUCGAAAUCGCGGUGAAGAUGCCGUGUA